AUAAGCUUAAACCACAAACAUUAAUGAGGAAAUAACAGCCAAAGGUUCAAUUCUACGCAUUCUACCGGAAUAAAUCCAACUCUAAUUCUACUUACUACUUUAGAAUACAGGGGGCAUCAACAGCAAAAAUUGCUUGAAAUUGGCACUGUUGGCGCUGUCAUCAACAUGGACACCAACUACUACAGGAAGCGACGUACUGAAGACUGUCGCAAGAAAAACAUUGUUAAAACUACUCAAACGUACUACAGUGCAUUGCUUUAGUGUCUCCUACGGACAGGUAAUAAACAGGAUGUGCUAGAAUACUUACACUUGCAGCGGAAAUCAAUUUUAACUCACUUUUUAACAAUUAUUCUUUACGUACCUUAUUAACUCCAGAAACGACGUGUGAGGGCGUUGUAGAAGCGCACUAGUAUCGAAGAAGACAAUAUGGCGUCACAGUGAGUUCUAAUAAGCCUGCGCAUUGACGAAUAAUAUAUAAUGCAUCGAAAAACUCAAAAAAAGCUCUUCCAAAAUACUUACGAAGAAGAGUUAUCUGACCACUCAACCAUCAUGACACUGCCUAUCAGAAUUAUAAUUAAUGUUUUUAACUGCAAUAAAUGUUAAUUUAACAAUUUUUAUUUAUAUAUUUUUUAAAAUUAAUCUUAAUGAUAAGUAUAAAAACUAAUUUGCAACAAGGUAAUAUAUUUUAAGUUGUACUAUUUGAAUGCUUAAAAAGCAUGUUCCAUCAAAAUUUAUUUUACAAUAGCAAUUAGUACAAGCAAAUAGUUUAGUUAAUGUUUGUUUAUUAUUUUAAUAGUGUAGAAGUGUAUGUUCUUCAUUGACUUAAGUUUUUUAUAUGUGGAAAGUGAGUUCUAGUUAUGUUUACAUUCUAAUACUUGCUAACUACAUUUAAACUAAAUUAAAUUUAAAUUGUUCAAAUUAUUUAUUAUGUAAUAUCUAUCUCUGCAGUGUUGAGUAUUGAUAACAAUUACCUUCAGAGAUCUAGGGAAAUUACAAGUUCUUGAAUACUAAUAAUAGUAAUAAUAUAUUAUUAAAUGCUUUAAAUAAAUCAAACACACUACUAGAGAAUGGAUACUGGAAACAAAUGGACUUUAUGCGAUGACAGGAAUGUAUGGGAUGGGAAUAGUAAGCCAUUAUGAGCUUACUGUCCAAGUUUUUAGCCACUUUUUACUAUGCAUGCACAUUUUACAUUUUAGAUUGAUAAAUGCUAGUCUGUAAGGGGUAAAGAGCUAUGUUAUUUGUUUCCUUUGAUUAGGCCUAUAGCAAGUGGAAAUAAAAGAACUCUACAUGAAUUAGGAAUGGUUUAUAAUUAGUCUGUUUUUUUAUUUUAUUUCAAGUCAAAAUUUUCCAAACCAAUUUAAGCAUGCAACACAAUGUAUUAAUUUUGAUAAGAACAAUUUUUUAAGUAUUAUCAUAGGAUUGUUAUUUAACGUAGGUAUAUCCAUUAUUACAAAAUGUCUAUUAUUUUACGAUGGGACACUAUAUAUGUGUGUUUAUAUGUAAGUAUGUAUGUAUUUCUUAUUUCAGUAUGUAGCUUUUAAACAUUAAGUUAUAUAGCUCAAAAACAAAGCACACACACACACACACAUACACUUAAAUAUUUAUACAACUUUUAAUCUUUUAGGAAAACAAAUUAUUCUUUUUGUUAGUCAGGGGUGGGUUAUUAUUUUACAAUUGUAAUUUUUAGGGAUAUUUAAACCAUUACUUAUAUGCCAGUACUCUAAUCUGGAGGCAACAUAUAAAGUAUAAUAAUUAAAAACACCACACAUGACCAUGCUUAUUUUGAUGUUCAAACCCAGAAAUUCUCAAUAGAAAUUGUCUGGUGCUUCAGCCUUCUCAGUAAAUGAACGACUGUGCCUCAUGUGCAAAGUGUGAGAGCUGACACAAGCGUGUGUCUGUUUCCCUCACUUACAGCCAUGAGGGGGUGGGUGACCUUCUAGUUGGGAGCUGGCAACAUUGUAAUAACAUUCACCACCCUAAGCAUCCCCCCCCCCCCCCCAUUAGCAUGCCCAGCAGCAUGUUCGAGCCUUAGGCCCUCAAUGUUCCAAUAAUAAAUUCGCUUGCUGUCUCUGUUUUUAUAUAGAGUAUCAGCCCUGUUGAUGUUUUUAAAAAUUUCAAUUCAGUCAUGAUUGUAGUUCGGCUGUUAAGAUUAUUUAAUUAAGAGUCUGAAAUCUAUGCUACUUUGAAAAUUGUAUCACUUUUUUAGGCAAAAAAUUAAAAUAUUUAAAGCACUAGUAUCAAUAGGCUCUCCAGAAUCUAGAUCACUAUUCCAAAGAUUGUGGAAAUUGAUCGGAUGUUUAUUUUGAAUGCAAACACCUGCCCCAAGGCCGGGCUGAAUUCAGAUGAAGCCCAGCCUUAAUGGGUCAUGAAGGUCAUUAAAGCUUAGAAUCUUAGAAAAGCCAUGAAAUCAAUAAUAUGAAUGUUGCUUUAUUUAUGACAUUAAAUGUGCCAUACUAUCAAAAAUUAUUGAUCACAAAAUAUGUUGUAUAGAUUAAACUUUACCAUAAUAUUGGUAGUAUUGAAAUAAAAAUGUAGAACCUUUGAAGA